UACGUAGGGCGCGAGCGUUGUCCGGAAUUAUUGGGCGUAAAGAGCUCGUAGGCGGUUUGUCGCGUCUGCUGUGAAAACUGGAGGCUCAACCUCCAGCCUGCAGUGGGUACGGGCAGACUAGAGUGCGGUAGGGGAGAUUGGAAUUCCUGGUGUAGCGGUGGAAUGCGCAGAUAUCUGGAGGAACACCGGUGGCGAAGGCGGCAUCCUGGACCGACACUGACCACUGAGGAGCGAAAGCCAGGGGGAGCA
rnacentral:rRNA from 1 species